rnacentral:lncRNA from 1 species
ACCCCACCUCUGAGCAACUGAUGCUCCUUUCCAAAUCCCCACAGCAGCGCUGCGUAACCCUCUGGGGAGCUGAGGGUUGGUGAUAAAACCCCAUUUAUUGGGUUUUUAAAUAAACCCCCCCUCCUGGUCACCCUCGGGCAGGCUGGUGACCCACAGCCACGCUGGGUACAGCUCCCACAUCUCCACGAGAGCCCCGUCUCCUCCAGACACCAGCUCCUGCAAGAGCUCCCACGUAUGACUUCACCCUUGGCUCUGACGCUGAAACCAGAGGGCAAAGAAAAAUACGCCACGUGCGCUAAUUAAUGACUCUGACUAAGCCUUGGGGCAGGGCACUGCCCUCGGCUUGGACGCAGUUAUGUUGUCAGUGUCCUGCUCUACCUCCUGGGGUGGCUGGCCAUGGCGACGGGCAGCAAACACGGGCUGCUGGCACCAGGCGAGUGCCCCUGGCUGCCAGCUCUGCCUCUGCAGCGAGUUUUGCUUGCUGGGGAAAGAAAGCUUUGGUUCCUGCACGGGGAGAGGGCUCUCCUGGGCAUCCCUGCCUCCCCUCAGGCAGCCCUGCAUCCCCCUGGGCACAGGAGACCCCUCCUGCGUCCCCUCAGGCACCUCUGCAUCCUCCUGGGCAUCCACUCAAGCAUCCCCCUGGGCAUGGGAGACCCUUCCUGCAUCCCCUCAGGCACCUCUGCAUCCUCCUGGGCAUCCACUCAAGCAUCCCCCUGGGCAUGGGAGACCCUUCCUGCAUCCCCUCAGGCACCUCUGCAUCCUCCUGGGUAGGGGAAACCUCUCCUGCAUCCUCCUGGGCACUCCUGGGCAUGGAAGUCCCCUCCUGCAUCCCCUCAGGCACCCCUGCAUCCAGCUGGGCACCCCCUCAAGCAUCCCCCUGGGCAUGGAAGACCCUUCCUGCAUCCCCUCAGGCAUCUUUGCACCCUCCCGGGCAUCUCUGCAUUCUCAUGGGCACAGAAGACCCCUCCUGCAUCCUCCUGAAACACCCCUGCAUCCUCCUGGGCAUGGGAGACCCCUCGUGCACCCUCCUGGGCAUCUCUGCAUCCUCCUGGGCACAGAAGACCCCUCCUGCAUCCUCCUGGGCAUCUCUGCAUUCUCAUGGGCACAGAAAACCCCUCCUGUGUCCUCCUGGGCAUGGAAGUCCCCUCCUGCAUCCCCUCAGGCAUCCCUGCAUCCUCCUGGGCAUCUCUGCACCCUCCUGGGCAUGGGAGACCCCUCCUGCAUCCCUGGGUCCUCCUGGGCAUGGGAGACCCCUCCUGCCUCCCUGCGUCCUCCUGGGCAUGGGAGACCCCUCCUGCAUCCCCUCAGGCACCCCUGUAUCCUCCUGAGCAUCCCUCCCUGCAUCUCUG